rnacentral:rRNA from 1 species
AGAGUUUGAUUAUGGCUCAGAACGAACGCUGGCGGCGUGGAUAAGACAUGCAAGUCGAACGAGAUUUUUUCCUGUAGCAAUACAGGGAAAAGUCUAGUGGCGAACGGGUGCGUAACACGUGGGCAAUCUGCCUUAAAGUGGGGGAUAGCUCGGCGAAAGCCGAAUUAAUACCGCAUGUGAUCAGGGGAGACAUCUUCCCGAAAUCAAAAGUGGCGCAAGCUACUGCUUUUUGAGGAGCCCGCGGCCUAUCAGCUAGUUGGCGAGGUAACGGCUCACCAAGGCUUUGACGGGUAGCUGGUCUGAGAGGACGACCAGUCACACUGGAACUGAGACACGGUCCAGACACCUACGGGUGGCAGCAGUCGAGAAUUUUUCUCAAUGGGGGAAACCCUGAAGGAGCGACGCCGCGUGGAGGAUGAAGGUCUUCGGGUUGUAAACUCCUGUCAUUUGGGAACAAGUGUCGGUACCUAACUGCUACCGACUUGAUAGUACCAGAAGAGGAAGGGACGGCUAACUCUGUGCCAGCAGCCGCGGUAAUACAGAGGUCUCAAGCGUUGUUCGGAUUCAUUGGGCGUAAAGGGUGUGUAGGUGGCGCCGUAAGUCGGGUGUGAAAUUUCGGAGCUUAACUCCGAAACUGCAUUCGAUACUGCGGUGCUUGAGGACUGGAGAGGAGACUGGAAUUCAUGGUGUAGCAGUGAAAUGCGUAGAGAUCAUGAGGAAGACCAGUGGCGANNGCGGGUCUCUGGACAGUUCCUGACACUGAGACACGA